rnacentral:rRNA from 1 species
GAAUUUUCCGCAAUGGGCGAAAGCCUGACGGAGCAAUACCGCGUGAGGGACGAAGGCCUGUGGGUUGUAAACCUCUUUUCUCAGGGAAGAAGAUCUGACGGUACCUGAGGAAUCAGCAUCGGCUAACUCCGUGCCAGCAGCCGCGGUAAGACGGAGGAUGCAAGCGUUAUCCGGAAUUAUUGGGCGUAAAGCGUCCGCAGGCGGUCUCGUAAGUCUGUCUUUAAAGCGUGGAGCUUAACUCCAUAAAGGGGAUGGAAACUGCGAGACUAGAGGUAGGUAGGGGUAGAAGGAAUUCCCAGUGUAGCGGUGAAAUGCGUAGAUAUUGGGAAGAACACCAGCAGCGAAGGCGUUCUACUGGACCAAACCUGACGCUCAUGGACGAAAGCUAGGGGAGCGAAAGGGAUUAGAUACCCCUGUAGU